UAUCUCUCCGUACGGGGAAGGAUGAGAAGCUUCGACUAAGGUUCGAUUCGAGCGCAGCGAGAAAGCGUUGCCGUAGGCAACGACCCGAAGGGCGAAGCGCGCAGCGCU
rnacentral:sRNA from 2 species